GAUGAACGCUGGCGGCGUGCCUAAUACAUGCAAGUCGAACGGAGAUUGUAGCAAUACAUUCUUAGUGGCGAACGGGUGAGUAACGCGUUGGUAACCUGCCCCAAAGAGAGGGAUAACAAUUCGAAAGAAUUGCUAAUACCCCAUGUGAUCCUCAGCAUUAGAUGGCUGAUGAUUAAACGGAUUUAUUCGCUUUGGGAGGGGCCUGCGUCCCAUCAGCUAGUUGGUAGGGUAACGGCCUACCAAGGCUAUGACGGGUAGGGGACCUGAGAGGGUGACCCCCCACACUGGCACUGAAACACGGGCCAGACACCUACGGGUGGCAGCAGUAGGGAAUAUUAGUAAUCUGGGAAACCGGGAACUAGCAACGCCGCGUGUGCGAUGAAGGCCUUCGGUUGUAAAGCACUUUUAAGGGUAAUGAGAAAGGACAGUACCUUACGAAUAAGUCUCGGCUAACUACGUG
rnacentral:rRNA from 1 species